rnacentral:rRNA from 1 species
UACGUAGGGAGCAAGCGUUGUCCGGAAUCAUUGGGCGUAAAGCGCGCGUAGGUGGCCUCAUAAGUCCGCUGUGAAAGUCAAAGGCUCAACCUUUGAAAGCCGGUGGAUACUGUGAGGCUAGAGUACGGAAGAGGCGAGUGGAAUUCCUGGUGUAGCGGUGGAAUGCGCAGAUACCAGGAGGAACACCAAUAGCGAAGGCAGCUCGCUGGGACGUUACUGACACUGAGGCGCGAAAGCGUGGGGAGCGAGCAGG